rnacentral:rRNA from 1 species
CCUACGGGUGGCAGCAGUGAGGAAUAUUGGUCAAUGGGCGAGAGCCUGAACCAGCCAAGUCGCGUGAGGGACGGCGGUCCUAUGGAUUGUAAACCUCUUUUGUCGGGGAACAAAGGCGCCCACGGGUGGGCGGAUGAGUGUACCCGAAGAAAAAGCAUCGGCUAACUCCGUGCCAGCAGCCGCGGUAAUACGGAGGAUGCAAGCGUUAUCCGGAUUUAUUGGGUUUAAAGGGUGCGUAGGCGGACAGUCAAGUCAGCGGUAAAAAUGCGGUGCUCAACGCCGUACGGCAGUUGAAACUGGCAGUCUUGAGUGGGCGAGAAGUAUGCGGAAUGCGUGGUGUAGCAGUGAAAUGCAUAGAUAUCGCGCAGAACUCCGAUUGCGAAGGCAGCAUCCCGGCGACCUACUGACGCUGAGGCACGAAGGCGAGGGUAUCGAACAGGAUUAGAUACCCCUGUAGUC